CCUACGGGAGGCAGCAGUGAGGAAUAUUGGUCAAUGGCCGGAAGGCUGAACCAGCCAUGCCGCGUGAAGGUCAGUGCCCUAUGGGCGUUAAACUUCUUUUGUGCGGGAGCAAUAAUGGUCACGUGUGGCCAGACGAGAGUACCGUACGAAUAAGCAUCGGCUAACUCCGUGCCAGCAGCCGCGGUAAUACGGGGGAUGCAAGCGUUAUCCGGAUUUAUUGGGUUUAAAGGGUGCGUAGGCUGUGAGGUAAGUCAGCGGUGAAAUGCCCCCGCUCAACGGGGUGAAGUGCCAUUGAUACUGCCUGGCUGGAAUGCGGAUGCCGUGGGAGGAAUGUGUGGUGUAGCGGUGAAAUGCAUAGAUAUCACACAGAACACCGAUUGUGAAGGCAUCUCACGAAUCCGCGAUUGACGCUGAUGCACGAAAGCGUGGGUAUCAAACAGGAUUAGAUACCCGUGUAGUC
rnacentral:rRNA from 1 species